UCAUAUGAUGUAAAUAAAUUUUUUUGGUUUAAGAUUAUAAAGAAUUUUUUUAAAAAUUAUUAUUUUAAGGUGAAAUUUUAAUUUUAAUUAAAUAUAUUAUUGUUUUGGGUUUCUAUAAAUUGAAAAAUAAACUAGGAUUAGAUACCCUAUUAUUUUAACUUAAAUUUAUUCUUUAUAAUUAAUUUGUUUGAGAAUAAAAUAAUUUGGCGGUUUUUUAUCAGUUCAGAGGAACCUGUUCCGUAAUUGAUGGUCCACGAUUAAAUUUACUUUACUUAGGUUUAUAUAUCGUUGUAAUUAAGUAUUUUCUAAGAAUUUACUUAUAAUUUUUUUAAUAAAAAUUAUUCAGAUCAAGAUGUAGCUUUAGUCAAGAGGAGAUGGGUUACAAUUUAUUUAUAAAGGGAUUUAAAUUUUUAAAAUUUAAUUAAUUUGGAUUUGAGUGUAAUUUUAAAUAUAUAUUUAAUUUGAUAAUUGCUCUGGAAU
rnacentral:rRNA from 1 species